UGGGGUGGAGCUCAGUGGUAGAGCCCUUGCCUAGCACGCAAGAGACCCUGGGUGUAAUCCUGGCCCCCCAA
rnacentral:tRNA from 1 species